GGCCUAAUGGUCUAGUGGUAUGAUUCUCGCUUUGGGAUUUAAGAUGAUAUCUUUCAAGCCUAGACUGCGAGAGGUCCCGCGUUCGAAUCGCGGUUGGGCCC
rnacentral:tRNA from 2 species